rnacentral:rRNA from 1 species
CGAACGCUGGCGGCGUGCUUAACACAUGCAAGUCGAACGGUGAAGCGCCUUCCUUUUUGGUGGGUGUGGAUGAGUGGCGAACGGGUGAGUAACACGUGAGUAACCUGCCCCCUUCUUCUGGAUAACCGCAUGAAAGUGUGGCUAAUACGGGAUAUUCUGGGUCUGUCGCAUGAUGGGUCUGGGAAAGAUAUUGUUUCGGUGGGGGAUGGGCUCGCGGCCUAUCAGCUUGUUGGUGGGGUGAUGGCCUACCAAGGCGGUGACGGGUAGCCGGCCUGAGAGGGUGGACGGUCACACUGGGACUGAGACACGGCCCAGACUCCUACGGGAGGCAGCAGUGGGGAAUAUUGCACAAUGGGCGCAAGCCUGAUGCAGCGACGCCGCGUGAGGGAUGGAGGCCGUCGGGUUGUGAACCUCUUUCGCCAGUGAAGCAGGCCUGCCUCGUUUGUGGGUGGGUUGACGGUAGCUGGAUAAGAAGCGCCGGCUAACUACGUG